UAACUGACGUUGAGGAGCGAAGGGGUGGGGAGCAAACAGGCUUAGAUACCCGGUAGUCCACCCCGUAAAACGUUGGGAACUAGUUGUGGGGUCCAUUCCACGGAUUCCGUGACGCAGCUAACGCAUUAAGUUCCCCGCCUGGGGAGUACGGCCGCAAGGCUAAAACUCAAAGGAAUUGACGGGGACCCGCACAAGCGGCGGAGCAUGCGGAUUAAUUCGAUGCAACGCGAAGAACCUUACCAAGGCUUGACAUAUACGAGAACGGGCCAGAAAUGGUCAACUCUUUGGACACUCGUAAACAGGUGGUGCAUGGUUGUCGUCAGCUCGUGUCGUGAGAUGUUGGGUUAAGUCCCGCAACGAGCGCAACCCUCGUUCUAUGUUGCCAGCACGUAAUGGUGGGAACUCAUGGGAUACUGCCGGGGUCAACUCGGAGGAAGGUGGGGAUGACGUCAAAUCAUCAUGCCCCUUAUGUCUUGGGCUUCACGCAUGCUACAAUGGCCGGUACAAAGGGCUGCAAUACCGUGAGGUGGAGCGAAUCCCAAAAAGCCGGUCCCAGUUCGGAUUGAGGUCUGCAACUCGACCUCAUGAAGUCGGAGUCGCUAGUAAUCGCAGAUCAGCAACGCUGCGGUGAAUACGUUCCCGGGUCUUGUACACACCGCCCGUCAAGUCAUGAAAGUCGGUAACACCUGAAGCCGGUGGCCUAACCCUUGUGGAGGGAGCCGUCGAAGGUGGGAUCGUAAUUAGGACUAAGU
rnacentral:rRNA from 2 species